GUUUGAGACCAGCUUGACCAACAUGGUGAAACUCCGUCUCUACUAAAAAUACAAAAAAUUAGCCAGGUGUGGUGGCGCAUGUCUAUAAUCCCAGCUACUCAGGAAGCUGAGACAGGAGAAUUGCUUGAACCCAGGAGUCGGAGGUUGCAGUGAGCCAAGCUCGUGCCACUGCACUCCAGCCUGGGCAACAGAGCGAGACUCUGUCUCAAAAAAAAAAGAAAAAAAAAAAAAAACCAAAAACAAAAAACAACAACAACCAGGUGAGGGGCAAGUACUCUUGCUAUCAUCUCCAUUUCACAGAUGGAGAAACUGAGGCACUAAGUGGUAGAGUAACCUAAGUCAUGCAGCCGAUAACUGAGAGACUCGAUUGGGACCCGGGUCGCCCAGCUGUUCUCCAUGCUGGGCUCUCUCCUGCACAGCUGCUUCAUGGUCCUGGCCCCACCGAGAACCAGAGCCCACAAGGUCAUUCCAGCAGCACUGCCCAGGGCCUCCUCUGGGCCAGGCCCUUGGGGAACUGGAGACCCCAUGGGGACCAGAAAGAUUGGGGUCUCGUUCUUGGGAGCCUAUGGCUUUGCAGUUGACCCAGAGUCCAGUUGACACCCAGGCAGGCAGUCAGGGUCUGUCUACACCCGCAUUGCAGGAGGAGCCGACAAACAGCAGAUGGACGCUGAGCUGCGGAAGGAGAUGAUGGCAAUUUGGCCCAAUCUGUCCCAGAAGACGCUAGACCUGCUGGUCACACCUCACAAGUGUAAGAGCCGAGCCCAGCCCUGGGAUCCCAUCCAGCAGGACAGAUGGAGGGGGAGGGAAAGAGGAGGCCUGGGAAGAGUGUUGGCCUGGGCUGGUAUACACAGGGACCCAGGACAAGGGCCCCAAAGAGGCCUGCCCUUGGUGAGCUUGCCCUGUGUGUGCCCCCAGCCACAGACCUCACCGUGGGGAAGAUCUACGCAGCCAUGAUGAUCAUGGAGUACUACCGGCAGAGCAAGGCCAAGAAGCUGCAGGCCAUGCGCGAGGAGCAGGUGCGCAGUUCGCCGCUCUGGGGACAUCUGGGCUGGGGACAGUGGCUUGCAUGUCACCAUGGGAACCAACUGGAAUAUGAGGGUCGCUGAGCCCCAGGGCAGGUCCCUGAAAAGUAGGGGCUGGGCACAGCAGCUCACACCUGUAAUCUCGGUGCUUUGAGAGGCCAGGGCAGAGGGAUCGUUUGAGAUCAGGAGUUUGAGACCACCCUGGGCAACACGGUGAGACUCCAUCUCUACAAAAUAAAACAUCAGCCAGGCAUGGUGGUGCACACCUGUAGUCCCAGCUAUUUAGGAGGCCAAGAUGGGAGGAUCACUUGAAGCCAGGAGUGGGAGACCAGUCUGGGCAACAUAGAAAGACCCAUAUCUCUACAAAAAAAAAUAAAAUUAGCUGCAUGUGGUGCCAUGCACCUGUGGCCCCAGCUACUUGGGAGGCUGAGGCAGGAGAAUCACUUGAACCUGGGAGGUGGAGGUUGCAGCAAGCCAAGAUCAAGCCACUGCACUCCAGCCCAGGUGAUA
rnacentral:sRNA from 1 species